UAGGGGACGAGAGAGGCAGACGGUAUCCCCGGGGUAGGGGUGAAAUCCUAUAAUCCCGAGAAGACCACCAGUGGCGAAGGCUGUCUGCUAGAACGCGCCCGACGGUGAGGGAUGAAAGCUGGGGGAGCGAACCGGAUUAGAUACCCGGGUAGUCCCAGCUGUAAACGAUGCAGACUAGGUGUUUGGACGGCCACGUGCCGUUCUAGUGCCGCAGGGAAGCUGUUAAGUCUGCCGCCUGGGGAGUACGAUCGCAAGAUUGAAACUUAAAGGAAUUGGCGGGGGAGCACCACAAGGGGUGAAGCUUGCGGUUUAAUUGGAGUCAACGCCGGG
rnacentral:rRNA from 1 species